UACGGGGGGGGCAAGCGUUGUUCGGAAUUACUGGGCGUAAAGGGCUCGUAGGCGGCCAACUAAGUCAGACGUGAAAUCCCUCGGCUUAACCGGGGAACUGCAUCUGAUACUGGAUGGCUUGAGUUCGGGAGAGGGAUGCGGAAUUCCAGGUGUAGCGGUGAAAUGCGUAGAUAUCUGGAGGAACACCGGUGGCGAAGGCGGCAUCCUGGACCAAUAUUGACGCUGAGGAGCGAAAGCCAGGGGAGCAAACGGG
rnacentral:rRNA from 1 species